UAAUACGGAGGGUGCGAGCGUUGUCCGGAAUCAUUGGGCGUAAAGGGCGCGUAGGUGGCCCGGUCAGUCCGUGGUGAAAGCGCGGGGCUCAACCCUGCGUCGGCCAUGGAUACUGCCGCGGCUCGAGCACUGUAGAGGCAGGCGGAAUUCCGGGUGUAGCGGUGGAAUGCGUAGAGAUCCGGAAGAACACCGGUGGCGAAGGCGGCCUGCUGGGCAGUUUAGCUGACACUGAGGCGCGACAGCGUGGGGAGCAAACA
rnacentral:rRNA from 1 species